rnacentral:lncRNA from 1 species
UUUUUUUUAGUUAGGCAUACACCCCUCCCCCUCCCAACAUACCAUAAUCAGGGGUAUCACUUUUGUGGUCAAGGUUUUGGCUUAUUGGUCAUCAAGAUGAACUAUGUGACCAAAUGAGAGCUCUAAUCUAAAUUUUGGUUUGCCAACAAUGGCCAUACCAGGGCCAGACACCAAGAAAAUAUCUAGACACAUCACCUUUUUCAUUAAGAAGGUAGGCUCAAAGACCAUAAAAAAAUUCGAACUGACAAGUGGAUAGCAAUGUUGGACUAAUACUUCAUUGAAGCUUGCACCACAACAGAAGAAAUGAAUAAAUAAAUGAUACUAACCAAUGCGGACACCACCCGGAGACAAUGCACUGCUGUCACUGAAGACAGCAUUCUUGUUCAAUGUGAUGAGGCAAAGAUCACAUAGCUUUUCAACCUUGUUUCCUGUGGAUAUAAGACAACAGUAAAACAAGUUAUAGUUUGGCCCCUUGAAAAUGAAGCCCAGUUAGAUGUUAAUUUGCAUACCAGUCAAGCCAAGGGGGCGGAGAUCCCAGAGAACAAGGUGGUUCUCAGUUCCAUCAGUCACCAUCUUGUAGCCCUUGCUCAUGAGAUAGUUUCCAAUUGCAACAGCAUUGGCCUUCACUUGCUUUGCAUAGGCCUUGUGAGAGCACCUAGAGGGGGGGGGGUGAAUAGGUGAUCCUGUAAAACUUCAAAUCUUAAGCCACCAAAAACUUGUUAAGUGUUAGCACAAUUAUGGCCAAGUGGCUAGAGAGGAGCCAAAACACAAUAACCACAAGAAAACAAUCACAGAGAUGACGCGGUGGUUAUCCCGUGGUUCGGCCAAGUACAAAACUUGCCUAGUCCACGUUGUGGCGUCCCAACGGACGAGAGUUGCACUCAACUCCUCUCAAGUGAUCCAAUGAUCAACUUGAAUACCACGGUGUUCUUGCUUUUCUUUUCUCAAUCCCGUUUGCGAGGAAUCUCCACAACUUGGAGCCUCUCGCCCUUACAAAAGAUGUUCACAGAGAAUCACGGAGCAAGGGAGGGAUUAGCAACUCACACACGACAAAAGAUCACCGCGAAUACGCACACACAAGACCCAGACUUGAGCUCAAGAGACUAGCACACUAGAACGGAGCUCAAAUCACUAGAAUGUCAAACAAGUGCGCAAGAUUGAUGUGUGAGUGAUCAAGAGUGCUCAAGGAAUGCUUGGUGUACUCCUCCAUGCGCCAAGGGGUCCCUUUUAUAGCCCCAAGGCAGCUAGGAGCCGUUGGGAACAAAUCUGGAAGGCCAUCUUUGCCUUCUGUCUCGUGGCGCACCGGACAGUCCGGUGCACACCGGACACUGUCCGGUGCCCGAUUUGUUUCCAUAAACAGCGCAUCCGACCGUUGCUGUCUGAGUCAGAUCUGCGCACCGUUGGCGCACCGGACAUGUCCGGUGCACACCGGACAGUCCGGUGUAUCUUUCCGACCGUUGGCUCGGCCACGUGUCGCGCACCGAUCGCGCGGCCGACCGUUGGCUCACCGGACAGUCCGGUGCACACCGGACAGUCCGGUGAAUUAUAGCCGUACGUCGCCGGUAAAUUCCCGAGAGCGACCUCUUCGGCCGAGGCGGCCUGGCGCACCGGACACUGUCCGGUGCACCACCGGACACUGUUCGGUGCACCACCGGACAGUCCGGUGCCCCAGACCGAAGCAGCCCCUUGGCUGUACACAGCCAAGUCUUCUCUUCUCUUCUUCUUUCUGUUUCUAACACUUAGACAAGAUAUUAGUACACAAAACCAAUGUACUAAGGCUUAGAAACAUACCUUAACUUGUGAUUUGCACUUUGUUCAUCCAUUGGCAUAUUUUCACAUUUAAGCACUUGUGUUUGCACUCAAUCACCAAAAUACUUAGAAAUGGCCCAAAGACACAUUUCCCUUUCAAUCUCCCCCUUUUUGGUGAUUUAUGCCAACACAACAUAAAGCAACUAGAACAAGUGCAAAAUCACUUCAAAUGAAAACUCAAAUUGGUUUUGAUUCAAUUUUGGCAUAUAUGGAUCAUCCUUUGCCACCACUUGGUUUGUUUUUGCAAAUCAAACUCAAAUCUCUAUUUCUAUGUCAAACACACAUGUUGAGGCAUAAAGAGAGUCAUUUCAAAAGAGAUUGAUCAAAGAUUUCAAAAACUCCCCUUAAAUCCCAUAAUCAAUACUUCUCCCCACAAGUAGCCAACUUUUGACAAAAGAGACAGUAAAAGCGUUUGACACAACAAAAACUCUAUUCUACUAUUUUCAAAAUCUCUCAAGUGGUAGCUGAUCCAUUUAUCGCUUUGGCCUUUAUUUUCUCCCCCUUUGGCAUCAAGCACCAAAACGGGAUCAAUCUUGGCCCUUUUAACCCCAUUGCCUCACCAAAAUCUUCAUUUAAGAUCAAAUGGCAAUAAGAGUUCAAGAGAUGGACUUGGAAUAAGUUACCCUCUCAUCGGAGUGCAGUGGAAGUCUUUCAUGGUCCAAGUCCACCUUUUCCCUUUCAAUUCUCCUUCGAGACUAAAUCAAGCAAACUCAAGCAAAUGGUUAGUCUCAAAGGGUCAAGUUGUAACACAUCUCCCCCUAAACAUGUGUAUCACUUUGCAACGGACUUGUGAGGUCCAGGGAGUGUUUGUACAACUGGAGCACCACAAUAAGCAACAAAAUGCAGAAUGAACCUGAUCAAAUGCAUAAACACAUGUAUGCUACAAUUCAAUCCAAGUUCCGCGAAUCUAAGACAUUUAGCUCACUACGCAACCUGCAAAAGGUCUUCUCAUCUAGAGGCUUAGUGAAGAUAUCGGCUAGCUGGUUCUCGGUGCUAACAUGAAACACUUCGAUAUCUCCCUUUUGCUGGUGGUCUCUCAAAAAGUGAUGCCGGAUGUCUAUGUGCUUUGUGCGGCUGUGCUCAACAGGAUUUUACGCCAUGCGGAUAGCACUCUCAUUAUCACAUAGGAGUGGGACUUUGCUCAGAUUGUAGCCAAAGUCCCGGAGGGUUUGCCUCAUCCAAAGUAGUUGCGCGCAACACUGUCCUGCGGCAACGUACUCGGCCUCAGCGGUGGAUAGGGCAACGGAGGUUUGUUUCUUAGAGUUCCAUGACACCAGGGACCUUCCUAAGAAUUGGCACGUCCCCGAUGUACUCUUCCUAUCGACCUUACAUCCAGCAUAGUCGGAGUCUGAGUAUCCAACUAAGUCAAAGGUAGACCCCUUUGGAUACCAGAGCCCGAAGCAAGGCGUAGCGACCAAAUAUCUAAGAAUUCGCUUCACCGCCACUAAGUGACACUCCUUAGGAUCGGAUUGAAAUCUAGCACACAUGCAUACGCUAAGCAUAAUAUCCGGUCUACUAGCACAUAGGUAAAGCAAAGAUCCUAUCAUUGACCGGUAUGCUUUUUGAUCAACGGACUUACCUCCUUUGUUGAGGUCGGUGUGUCCGUCGGUUCCCAUCGGCGUCUUUGCGGGCUUGGCGUCCUUCAUCCCAAACCGCUUUAGUAGAUCUUGCGUGUACUUCGUUUGGGAGAUGAAGGUGCCAUCCUUGAGUUGCUUCACUUGGAACCCAAGGAAGUAGUUCAACUCGCCCAUCAUCGACAUCUCGAAUUUCUGCGUCAUCACCCUGCUAAACUCUUCACAAGACUUUUGGUUAGUAGAACCAAAUAUUAUGUCAUCGACAUAAAUUUGGCACACAAACAAAUCACCGUCACAUGUCUUUGUGAAAAGAGUUGGAUCGGCUUUCCCAACCUUGAAAGCAUUAACAAUUAGAAAGUCUCUAAGGCAUUCAUACCAUGCUCUUGGGGCUUGCUUAAGUCCAUAGAGCGCCUUAGAGAGCUUACACACAUGGUCGGGGUACCGUUCAUCCUCGAAGCCAGGGGGUUGCUCUACGUACACCUCCUCCUUGAUUGGCCCGUUGAGGAAAGCGCUCUUCACAUCCAUUUGGUACAACCUGAAAGAAUGGUGAGCGGCAUAUGCUAGCAAGAUACGAAUUGACUCUAGCCUAGCCACAGGAGCAAAAGUCUCCUCAAAGUCCAAACCUGCGACUUGGGCAUAACCUUUUGCCACAAGUCGAGCCUUGUUCCUCGUCACCACCCCGUGCUCGUCCUGUUUGUUGCGGAACACCCACUUGGUCCCCACAACAUUUUGCUUCGGACGAGGCACCAGUGUCCAAACGUCAUUGCGCUUGAAGUUGUUAAGCUCCUCCUGCAUGGCCAAUACCCAGUCCGGAUCUAGCAAGGCCUCCUCUACCCUGAAAGGCUCAAUAGAAGAGACAAAAGAGUAAUGCUCACAAAAAUUAACUAAUCGAGAUCGAGUAGUUACUCCCUUGCUAAUAUCACCCAGAAUUUGGUCGACGGGAUGAUCCCUUUGAAUCAUCGCUCGAACUUGGGUUGGAGGUGCCGGUUGCGCUUCUUCCUCCAUCACUCGAUCACCUUGUGCUCCCCCUUGAUCAAUCGCCUCCACUUGAGGUACCUGUACGUCACCUUCGGUUGGGGGAUUCACCAUAGUUGAGGAAGAAGGUUGAUCUCGUUCAUCUUGUUCCUGUGGCCGCACUUCUCCAAUCGCCAUGGUUCGUAUGGCGGUCGUCGGAACAUCUUCUUCAUCUACAUCAUCACAAUCAACAACUUGCUCUCUUGGAGAGCCAUUAGUUUCAUCAAAUACAACGUCGCUAGAGACUUCAACCAAACCCGAUGAUUUGUUGAAGACUCUAUACGCCUUUGUAUUUGAGUCAUAACCUAACAAAAACCCUUCUACUGCUUUGGGAGCAAAUUUAGAAUUCCUACCCUUCUUCACUAGAAUGUAGCACUUGCUCCCAAAUACACGAAAGUAGGAUACAUUGGGUUUGUUACCGGUUAGUAGCUCAUACGACGUCUUCUUGAGGAGGCGAUGAAGGUAGACCCUGUUGAUGGCGUGGCAAGCCGUGUUUAUGGCUUCCGUCCAAAAGUACUCGGGGGUCUUGAACUCUCCUAGCAUCGUCCUCGCCAUGUCGAUGAGCGUCCUGUUCUUCCUCUCUACCACACCAUUUUGCUGUGGUGUGUAGGGAGCGGAGAACUCAUGCUUGAUCCCUUCUUCUUCAAGGAAUUCCUCCACUUGAAGAUUCUUGAACUCGGACCCGUUGUCGCUCCUUAUCUUCUUCACCUUGAGCUCAAACUCAUUUUGAGCUCUCCUGAGGAAGCGCUUGAGGGUCCCUUGGGUUUCAGACUUAUCCUGCAAAAAGAACACCCAAGUGAAGCGGGAAAAGUCAUCAACAAUAACUAGACCAUACUUACUCCCUCCUAUGCUCAGAUAGGCGACGGGUCCGAAGAGAUCCAUAUGCAGCAACUCCAGAGGUCUUGAAGUGGUCAUCACAUUCUUGCUGUGAUGCGCUCCUCCCACCUGUUUACCUGCUUGACAAGCUGCACAAGGUCUAUCUUUUUCGAAUUGCACGUUAGUCAAACCUAUCACGUGUUCUCCCUUUAGAAGCUUGUGAAGGUUCUUCAUCCCCACAUGUGCUAAGCGGCGAUGCCACAGCCAGCCCAUGCUAGUCUUAGCUAUUAAGCAUGCAUCUAGACCGGCCUCUUCUUUUGCAAAAUCAACUAAAUAAAGUUUGCCGUCUAAUACACCCUUAAAAGCUAGUGAACCAUCACUUCUUCUAAAGACAGACACAUCUAUAUCUGUAAAUAGACAGUUAUACCCCAUAUGACAUAAUUGACUAACAGAUAAUAAAUUAUAUCCCAAAGACUCAACUAAAAACACAUUAGAAAUUGAGUGCUCAUUAGAGAUUGCAAUUUUACCUAACCCUUUUACCUUGCCUUGAUUCCCAUCACCGAAUAUGAUUGAAUCUUGGGAAUCCUUAUUCUUGACGUAGGAGGUGAACAUCUUCUUCUCCCCCGUCAUAUGGUUUGUGCAUCCGCUGUCGAUAAUCCAGCUUGAACCCCCGGAUGCAUAAACCUGCAAGGCAAAUUUAGGCUUGGGACUUAGGUACCCAACUUAUGUUGGGUCCUACAAGGUUAGUGCAAAUAUCCUUAGGGACCCAAAUGCAAGUUUUGUCACCCUUGCAUUUUGCCCCUAGCUUUCUAGCAACAAUUUUCUUAUCCUUUCUACAAAUUGCAAAGGAAGCAUUCAAAGCACAAUAAAUUGUAGAAGGUUCAUUCACUACUUUCCUAACAACAUUUUUCCUAGGCAUUUGAUGAACAACAUUUCUUCUAAGCACAUUUCUACCAUGAAUAACAUGAGAACUAGAAGCAGUCAUAGCAUAAGAGUCAUAAGCAUGUGAAUCAAAAACAUCAUGACCUCUAAAAGCAUUUCUAGAAUAUCUCCUAUCAUAGUACAUGAAAGCAUGAUUCUUCUUAACACUAUUAGCCAUAGGAGCCUUCCCUUUCUCCUUGGUGGAGAUGGGAGUCUUAUGGCUUGUUAAGUUCUUGGCUUCCCUCUUGAAGCCAAGCCCAUCCUUAAUUGAGGGGUGUCUACCAACCGUGUAGGCAUCCCUAGCAAAUUUUAGUUUAUCAAAAUUACUUUUGCUAGUCUUAAGUUGAGCAUUAAGACUAGCUAAUUCAUCAUUAAGCUUGGAAAUUGAAACUAGGUGUUCACUACAAGCAUCAAUGUCUAUAUCCUUACACCUAGUGCAAAUUUCAACAUUUUCAACACAAGAGUUGGAUUUAUUUGCUUCUACUAGUUUAGCAUUUAAAUCAUCGUUUAUGCUCUUUAAGUUAGAAAUAGAAUCAUGGCAUGUUGACACUUCACAAGCAAGCAUUUCAUUUCUCUUAAUUUCUAAUGCAAGGGAUUUUUGAGCCUCUACAAACUUAUCAUGUUCUUCAUAUAACAAAUCCUCUUGCUUUUCUAAAAGUAUAUUCUUUUCAUUCAAGGCAUCAAUUAAUUCAUUAAUUUUGUCUAUCUUAGAUCUAUCUAAGCCCUUGAACAAACAUGAAUAAUCUACUUCAUCCUCAUCACUAGAUUCGUUCUCACUUGAAGAAGCAUAGGUAGUGUUGCGAGUACAUACCUUCUUCUCCCUUGCCAUAAGGCAUGUGUGACGCUCGUUGGGGAAGAGGGUUGAUUUGUUGAAGGCGGUAGCGGCGAGUCCUUCGUUGUCGGAGUCGGACGAGGAGCAGUCCGAGUCCCACUCCUUGCCUAGAUGCGCCUCGCCCUUUGCCUUCUUGUAAUUCUUCUUCUUUUCCCUCUUGUUUCCCUGUUCCUGGUCACUAUCAUUAUCGGGGCAGUUAGCGAUAAAAUGACCAAUCUUACCGCACUUGAAGCAUGAGCGCUUCCCCUUUGUCUUGGUCUUGCUUGGCUGCCCCUUGUGACCUUUUAGUACCGUCUUGAAUCUCUUGAUGAUGAGAGCCAUCUCUUCAUCAUUGAGCCCGGCCGCCUCAACUUGCGCCACCUUGCUAGGUAGCGACUCCUUGCUCCUUGUUGCCUUUAGAGCAAUGGGUUGAGGCUCGUGGAGUGGACCGUUCAACGCGUCGUCGACAUAUCUUGCCUCCUUGAUCAUCAUCCGCCCGCUCACGAAUUUUCCAAGUACUUCCUCGGGCGUCAUCAUCGUGUACCUGGGAUUCUCACGAAUAUUGUUCACGAGAUGAGGAUCAAGAACGGUAAAUGACCUGAGCAUUAGGCGGACGACGUCGUGAUCCGUCCAACGCGUGCUCCCGUAGCUCCUUAUUUUGUUGAUAAGAGUCUUGAGCCGGUUGUAAGUUUGAGUUGGCUCCUCUCCCCUUAUCAUGGCGAAUCGUCCAAGCUCGCCUUCCACCAACUCCAUCUUGGUGAGCAUGGUGAUGUCGUUCCCCUCGUGAGAGAUCUUGAGGGUGUCCCAUAUCUGCUUGGCAUUGUCCAAGCCGCUCACCUUAUUGUACUCUUCCCUGCACAAAGAAGCUAAGAGAACAGUAGUAGCUUGUGCAUUUCUAUGAAUUUGUUCAUUUAUAAGCAUAGGGCUAUCCGAGCUAUCAAAUUUCAUUCCAUUUUCCACAAUCUCCCAUAUGCUUGGAUGGAGAGAGAAUAAGUGACUACGCAUUUUGUGACUCCAAAAUCCGUAGUCCUCCCCAUCGAAGUGUGGAGGUUUGCCAAGAGGAAUGGAAAGCAAAUGCGAAUUCGAACUAUGUUGAAUACGAGAAUAAUCAAAUGAAAAGUUCGAAUUGACCGUCUUUUUGUAGUCGUUGUCAUCAUCCUUUUGGGAAGAAGUAGACUCAUCACUAUCGUCGUAGUAUAUGAUCUCCUUGAUGCGCCUUGUCUUCUUCUUCUUUCCUUCCUUCUGUCUAUGACCCGAGCCAGAGUCGUUAGGCUUGUCAUCUUUGGGCUCGUUGACGAAAGACUCCUUCUCUUUAUCGUUGAUCACGAUUCCCUUCCCCUUAGGAUCCAUCUCUUCGGGCGAUUAGUCCCUUUCUUGAAGAGAACGGCUCCGAUACCAAUUGAGAGCACCUAGAGGGGGGGUGAAUAGGUGAUCCUGUAAAACUUCAAAUCUUAAGCCACCAAAAACUUGUUAAGUGUUAGCACAAUUAUGGCCAAGUGGCUAGAGAGGAGCCAAAACACAAUAACCACAAGAAAACAAUCACAGAGAUGACGCGGUGGUUAUCCCGUGGUUCGACCAAGUACAAAACUUGCCUAGUCCACGUUGUGGCGUCCCAACGGACGAGAGUUGCACUCAACUCCUCUCAAGUGAUCCAAUGAUCAACUUGAAUACCACGGUGUUCUUGCUUUUCUUUUCUCAAUCCCGUUUGCGAGGAAUCUCCACAACUUGGAGCCUCUCGCCCUUACAAAAGAUGUUCACAGAGAAUCACGGAGCAAGGGAGGGAUUAGCAACUCACACACGACAAAAGAUCACCGCGAAUACGCACACACAAGACCCAGACUUGAGCUCAAGAGACUAGCACACUAGAACGGAGCUCAAAUCACUAGAAUGUCAAACAAGUGCGCAAGAUUGAUGUGUGAGUGAUCAAGAGUGCUCAAGGAAUGCUUGGUGUACUCCUCCAUGCGCCAAGGGGUCCCUUUUAUAGCCCCAAGGCAGCUAGGAGCCGUUGGGAACAAAUCUGGAAGGCCAUCUUUGCCUUCUGUCUCGUGGCGCACCGGACAGUCCGGUGCACACCGGACACUGUCCGGUGCCCGAUUUGUUUCCAUAAACAGCGCAUCCGACCGUUGCUGUCUGAGUCAGAUCUGCGCACCGUUGGCGCACCGGACAUGUCCGGUGCACACCGGACAGUCCGGUGUAUCUUUCCGACCGUUGGCUCGGCCACGUGUCGCGCACCGAUCGCGCGGCCGACCGUUGGCCCGGCCGACCGUUGGCUCACCGGACAGUCCGGUGCACACCGGACAGUCCGGUGAAUUAUAGCCGUACGUCGCCGGUAAAUUCCCGAGAGCGGCCUCUUCGGCCGAGGCGGCCUGGCGCACCGGACACUGUCCGGUGCACCACCGGACAGUCCGGUGCCCCAGACCGAAGCAGCCCCUUGGCUGUACACAGCCAAGUCUUCUCUUCUCUUCUUCUUUCUGUUUCUAACACUUAGACAAGAUAUUAGUACACAAAACCAAUGUACUAAGGCUUAGAAACAUACCUUAACUUGUGAUUUGCACUUUGUUCAUCCAUUGGCAUAUUUUCACAUUUAAGCACUUGUGUUUGCACUCAAUCACCAAAAUACUUAGAAAUGGCCCAAAGACACAUUUCCCUUUCACCUUGAAGCCAGGCGACAUAGUUUGCUGUAGAGCAACAACAAGUGCAGCAAUCUGGUGGUUGUGAGGGCCACCUUGAAGAGAUGGGAACACUACAAAGUUGAUAUUGUCUUCAUAAUCAUAAACAGCACCCUCAGGCUGGCCCUUCUUGGGGGGCUUAGGGCCUUUCCUGUAGAAGAUCAUGCCAGCCCUUGGCCCUCUGAGGGACUUGUGCGUGGUUGUGGUAACCACAUCACAAUAUUCAAAAGGAUUUGCAGCUUCCUGAAAUGGAGUAAGGCAAAUAGUGAGAUUUUUUAACACGGAUUAUUCAACUAACUAAACAUUUGCAAUGAAUAGUCUCUUCAGAUCUCCUCCGGACUCCAGAGCUCAAAAAAACAAAUAAUAUCACCUUCUGUACUAUGGCCCUAGAAUAAUACAUUAUCUAAGUGCCUCCCGACUCCAGUACACACUCCAGUACCCAAAGGACGAUACAAAAGAAUUAGCGAAAUCGUGUCACUUCUGUACUAUGACCCUAAAAUAAUGCAGUAGCUCAGUCUACACACCAAAGUUGAGUUAGAAAUAUGUAUGUCUCAUAUUACAGCAUAUUGCUUAUUAGAUUCCACUAUGGAUUGCCUAUAUAUGCAUGAUCAUUGCAUAACAGAAGUGGGCGCUACUGUGACGUUAACACACAUGGACCCAAAUUUGAUAAGCAAUAAUGUACACAAAGAUGCGCAAUGUGAUUUGCUAAAGCACACUAAGCACGAGUUCUCUUAUAUAUUGUCGUCAAAGAGUAAAAAUUGUUAAGACCUCGUGCAAAGGUUUCAAUUGGUACGGUGACUAUCUGAGUACACAGGUUCAUAUCCAUUGAGAAUAAUCCAAAACACCAAAAUAAAUGGAACAACAGAUCUAUCACCAUCAAAGGAAUAUAUUUUUACACGAACUAAAGCAAGCCAAAAAUAUCCAUUUCCAUGACUGCAAGCCACAUUUUGGUAUACAAAACAAGGCAAUGGUAAAAAACGACAGACAGCAAGCAUCCAUAUAAAAUGUUCCUAAAUCAGUAAACUUGCAAAACACUCAGAUCUAUAAUAUGUGAUUAAACAAUCCAAGGUGAUGCACAAAACGACAGACAGACAGACAACAUCCAUAUAAAUAUUCCUAAACACUCAGAUCUAUAAUAUGCAAGGCCAGAUUUUUUUGAAUUAAAAUCUAACACCAUAACUCGGAAUGGCCCUAGUUUGAAUGGUAUUAAUAUACUUAUACAUACAAUUCGUAGUUUUAUUAUUAUGAAAAUAGAUGCAAGCUUCUUCUGGUCAAAACAUUUGUAGAAUACUUUUUUGUUGGUAAAUUUCAUCCGUGAUCAUAGGCAAUACACUCAAUAUGAACCAAACACAAGUUACCUUUCCAAAACAUAUAUAAUACCUCCUGCAGUCAAGGUAUAGUUUUGACAAUAUAGCAGUCUAAAAUAACAAUGCAGCAGUAUCAGCAUGACAGCACAGAGAUUAGUGUAUAGAUGUCUUGUAUAACAUAUUGUCACUGAGCAAAACCCCUUAUUUACCAUAGCAGAUAGCAGCGCUAUGGAAUUAAUGUUGCAGUCAAGCUAAAAUUUCCUGAUGGGGCCUAUUCCAAAUUGCGAGAUAUUCAAUUUAUUUACGGCUAAGCUCAAUUGACUAGCUUGUGUGCACUUCUCCUCUCUUGGUUGCCUGUUGCAUGCUGCCUUUUCUACCGGUCACCUAUACAUGUUUGAUUUCAUUUUCUGUAACUCCUUUUCUAUUCAUUCUUUUUUAAAUAAAAUGAACAGUAGGGGCCUCCCCUACUGUAUUUCUCCUAAAAAAGAACUAGAAGCAGGUUAUGUUAAUUUGUCCCCACACAAAACAAGCACCAUCAGUAAACUAGAAAUUAAAUCACCUUCUUAUCAUCCACAAUUCCAUCUGAAAGUACUUCUGUAGCAUAGGCCUUAUAGAGUAUCUUGAGAUCAUCAGUUGUGCUUCAGUAGAGGUAUUAGAUGAUGUUGCUUUCUGUGACCUAGGAGGAUCAGGAAGUUUGAUGGGCAGAAACACCUUGUUACUAUUUAUUUCUUUGGAAGCUUGUGCUGCAGAAGAAGCUGAUGAAAUCACAACCUUCUGAUUAUUUUCUGACUUUCCAUCAGUUUUCAAGAGAUCGUCUGGACACAGAUGGCUUCUAAGGUCGACCUUUUCUCUCGCCAUUGUAGAAUUAUUAUUUUGGUCUACUGUACUACUCACUGGAUGUCCAUCCAAAUUGUUUUGAUUUUCUGAGAGACUUUCUUUGGUGCGCUUUAGAUCGUGAUUAUCUUCAUAAGUUCCGACAUAUGCACUUCUUAAAACUCCUGGAGAUGAAUCUGCAUUGCUAUUUCCAUAAGAGUCCUGAUUACCCUGGAUCUUUCAGAUGUUUAACGGGUUAAAAAAGUUCUGGGCAGUGAAGAGAUUGUGGAUGCUAGUUUACUGCAUAGAUGUCUAUCGGUGAUCAGUGAUCAUGAAUUCAGAUAGCUACCUUUGCUUGCGCUAAAUGUUCGCCAAUUCUUUGGUCUGAAUAUCUCCGUUCAACAUAUACAUUCUUGAUGAAAUUUUUGAGUCUAUGUACACCACUAUAAGUGAAAACAAAGCAAUCAAACAUCAAGUGUGCAACUACAAUAUGCUUGAAAAAUAAAUAACAGGAAUAGAUGACUAACCUACUGUCAAUAACAGGGCCUUGCAAGUCCCAAUGCUUGAAAUAGAUUUCCUUAGCAGCUGGAAGAAAGAGAAUAUUAGGUAACUAUAAAGAUCACACAGACCUUUCUAAAUUAUUAAUAAAAUAUUAGGCGAACCUCAUUGCCCCCUUCCUGAAGUGCCGAAACUUCUUGGGAAGUGAAUUUAGCCAUUGAUACUGAUUUUACACGAUGACUGAACUCUCGGCUGUAAAAUGUCACGAUUCAGAAAUGGGCAAGCACAGGCACUGGUUCAGAAGUUUAUAUAACUUAUAGGGAGGAGUUCACAACUGUAAUAGCCAAACAAGAAACAUUGCUGCACUUUUAAUAAAGAGAAAAACAACAAUAUGAUCACCACUUACUGUAUCCCGCUGCAAUUAGUACAGAUGAAAGUAGAGAAGCUUGUGCAUACAUAUUGUGGCCCCUGUUAAUGAAGAGUACUUUUUGGUUACUUAACAAAGAAAUAUACAUCAUGUGUUUUCAUAUCACGGAUAAAUGUGUAUACAGGUUAGGGGUUCCUCACCCGAAUACGUAUAUUUCGGGUGGGGCCACAAUAUGUAUAUUUCUUCGUCUGCUCUAUGUCUUUACGUGCGCGGGGGGAGGGGACGGGUCCGAGAUCCAGCUCCAGGUCCAGCCGCCGUACCUGAUCCGACGCGGGCCACUGCGCGAUCCGGCGUGGCGUCCUUGCAGGCGCCUGCGACGGCGAGCUUCCUGGGCUCCUCGUCCUGCGCCGCCGACCCAAAGCAGACAAAGCAGCUCAUCGCCGGCGACGAAGACGGCUCCCGGAGAGACCGACGGUGAGGAAGCGGCCGACGAGGCGGGAGCGGGGAGCUCCUCUCCCGAUCUGCGGCACGGGAGCGAAGCUUCUUCCCCGACCGACGUCGCGACUGGAAGCGAAACGGGCUAUUGGCCCAAUUGGGGAGGGGAGGAGGAUUUGGGGAAGGGGGGAGGGAGGCGUGGUGCCGUGGAGUGGGGUGAAAGCUACAGCUACAACAAGGAGGAGGGGAAUAUGAGGUUUGGCGGCGGCGCGCGGUGGAGGAGCUGUGGCGGCGGGCGCGUGGGUUGGCGGCGGCGCUGUGGAGGAGCGGGGACUAGCGGCGCGCACGUAGGCGGGAUUGAAGAGAGACGCACGGGUCGCUAGGGAUUUAGUUUGGGUUAAGUUCGACGGUGUUGACGUGGCCCAUGAACUUAAAUUAAGAACGUGGGUACCCACGAUUUUAAUACUAUAAGUUCGACGGCUUUAUCUAGAACGCACGAAUUUAAACUAAGAACGUGGGUACUCACAUUCUUCAACAAACCCAUGAACUUAACUCAAAUAAGAACGUGGGUACCCACGUUCUUAAUUUAACCCACGAACAUUUAUUAGUUUCUUGUAGUGUCGGCUAGGACUUGAUUAUUAAUUUUAUUUAAACAUAUCCCGUGUGCGCUAGCAAUUAGUACUAUUGUAGCUAUGAUUACGUUUUUAUUUAUAUAUGGUCGGUACGUUCUACUCAAGGCCGCACAAUGUUUUGGGACGUCGUAAUACUCAAUAUUUUCAUUUCUAAGUGCAAGCAGUUCUAGGAAUCUUAACGCAGCUUAAGCAGGAGUGGAAAACGUGCGUCAUGUCCCUUGAACUACCGUUUGGAUUCAAUUAUGGCCAACUUUGGUGCUAAUCCAUGCUUUGAUUAAACCUAGAUUUGCUGAUCAAAGAAAUCCUCGUGGAUCAAUUAAUUCUUUGUGGUGUUGUGCAUUUUCAAUUAUUUCUGGCAGCGUGGAAUUAAGUCGUAGAUUUUUUUUUGCUCCUUCCAGUGCGUUUAAAAGAUUCCUACAGGUGAAACACAGUGUAACCAUCAAUAUAAAGAGUCGCAUAGAUCGACAAUAUAUGAUAGAUAUAAUAAAGAGGAAUGCUAUUUUUACUGACUUGAUUAGAAGUGUCAUUUUCUUAAAAUAAUUGUAGGUAAAAAAUUCUUACAUUGGGGCGUAGAAAUUGUGACACAAUGGGAUAAAAUGAAUACCAAUUUAGGACGGGGUAAGUAUCUAUUUAGAGAGACAUCAUGUUUGAAGAGGCACCUAUUUCUCAACACCUCUUGAUCAAAUCUUAAUUUGAGAUCAUCACAAUAAAAAAUAUGCAGCUGAAAUUUCUCAGAAAAUCCAAUAGGGAAAGUUUGUGGAGUACACUGAUAUGCUAUUUGAACUCCUAAACCCAAUGGGAAAAUGAGAAAAAUGCUAGGUCAUAUGUAUGUCAUUGCUCAAUUUACGCUUAUAUAGGUACCCUUUUAUGAAAGGGAAACCUUAAACGAGUUUAACGAGCAAUAAAUGUUAUUUGUAAAGCGCCAUGUCUUUGGUAUCCCAUUAAAAAACCUCUAUGGGACAAAUUGGAGAUACGUCGUCCUCAAACCUUCCGAAAAUAUGAGUGAUCUAUGGAUAUAUGGUUAAAAACUCUAUGUAAAACCCAAUCGGAAAGUUAGGAGAAACUGAUGCAACAUAUCUCUGUUACUGCCUCAUUAUAAACUCAUAUGAGAAAACCUUGAAGGACAGUUGUUAAUUUCAUGUUAGCCACCCAUAUAUAAGAAAGAGAUCUCCCUUGAAAUUAGUUUUUAGUGGUGUGGUUCGGAAGCCACAGUGAAGCCAGUCGUUCUUAUUAGAGACGAUUUCCUAUAUGAUUAUUCACUCUUACAAAAAUGGAAAAAACAAUUGUAAAAAAUCAUUUGUAUUUGUAUAGUAGCGAUAUUUCUUGGAGUUUGAGCUAUAUCAAAUAUGACAUAUCACAGGUGCAUUAUAGUGUAAUAAUAUAUAUUCACUAGGUGGAUGCCCGUGCGUUGCUACGGAGUCAACAUAUAAUGAUAAGAUACGUUGAGAUUAGGUGGAUGCCCGUGCAUUGUUACAGAGUCAACAUAUAAUGAUAAGAUACGUUGAGAUGUAGAAGCACUAUAAUAAAAUAUAUUGAUAAAAUACAUUGUUGGAACUUAGAAACUCAAUGGUAUCUGGGGUUCACUUGAUGAUAUAAAUUUUUAGCCAUAAUCAUCUCAUGUUGUUAAUGAUCAGUAAUGUGAGCAAUAGGAUCUGUAUUGAAGGUAAAAAAUGUUUCUAUCAAGGCAUACCCAUCCUAUGUAAUUAUAGCUGUCAAAAAAGGAGUACAAUUUAAUCUCAUUAGUCAUAUAACUGAAAAACAAGAGGCAGACUAAUCUUUUAUUGUGUAGAUUCAAAAAAAACUAUGUAAACGAAUACCUAUGUAAUCCCACAACAUAUAUACACAGUAGAAAGAAAUAUAAACUAAGCUCAUGAAGCAUAGGAAGAACCAUUCUUUGAGGGGUAGCAACAAGGGGAACUAAAUUCUGGAUCCGAGCAGUUGUGAAAAUACAAUAUUAAGAACUUGGGGGUGUGGCGGGAGGUUGAGAGCUCAAAGCUAUCACUUCAAUUCAGGAGACACAAACACACUUAUGGUGUAGCGUUAGCUGCUGCUCACUUUUGCCUAAGGGGUGCGGGAUCGAAUUCCCUCGCAUCCUGCUUUUUUAGUUUUUGGCUGGGCGUGGGACGUCUGCGCGGGAGGCAGAAUGGAGAGGUAGCCUACCCCUUAGGUUCUUCAUAGUAGCAUAGCUCUGGCCUUGACAAACAAACAUUGUGGUCAGAAUCAUCUGUUAUGGAUUCCUGAAAAAAGAAUCAUCUGUUGUGAACAAAUUAUGAUAUAGUGAUGCUUGGCAGCUUCACAAGAAGGUCGAAAACAAGUCAAGGACCUAAACCAGGAUAGCAUAUUAAUAUUGAACCAAAUGUGAAAUCUAAUUACAUAAUCAUACUUUCAAUAACCAAUCAAACUAUAAAAUUGGAGGAAUCUUGGUGUGUACAUUAUACACAUGACACAUACAGGUAGUUUUAUCCCAAAAAAAAUGAAAAGACAACAUCUGCAGCUACCUCCCGUUGGGCUCAGGAAAUGUCUCGGAUAUAGCUGAACACAACAUUUAUCCUAGCAUCCUUAGUCUCUAGGCCUAAGCAAGUCAAACAAGGUACGAACAGUAAACCACGCAGUAAACAUUGAAAGAAAAUGAAUGCAUUAAUAGUCUUGGGCUCUUGGAUACAUACAUAAUAAUCAUUUGAAUUAUUAAGAUGCAACACCACUACUAAAGCUUUACUCAAACAAAUUUCAUAAGCCUUAGAUGAACCCAACAUGAUCCACCAACAAAGAGAAAUUCUUAUAUGCAAAUUCUGCUAGUUAUAUUUGGCUAACGACCGGAUACCCAAGUCCUACAAAUAUGUGUGAAGCUGGACGACCACACCUGUGUUGGGUUCCAAACGACAUCCGGUGUGUACUAAACAAAUUUGAUGCUUCCAUCAGCCACACCCAAGUUGGACUCUGAAGAGAUCUGCCUUAUGAUCUCUAUGUUUGUACCCAAAAAAACACACGUAGUGCUCCCUUUAUCAUUAAUUUUUAUGAAUUACAGGUGUGGUAUUUUGUAUGAACUACUCCCUGCAGUCACAAGAGCACCGUUUUGACAUGAACUUUGACUGUUAUUUCUAUUGCAGUAUGUUUACAAACCAUAGCAAAAAUAUAUAUUAAGAAUUUUUAGACAAACAUACAUGCACCCUACCAAAUGUUUAACCUUAACAAGCACAAAGUAAUUGAUUACUAAAGUUUUUUUAGGCUGACCGCAAACAACCAAAUCAUCACUUGUAUGGCUGUUUACCUCUUUACAGUACAAAACAAGAUAAUUCCUAUACAAUCAGCAGCCACAACACACCAUCCAUAAGGAGAUUUAAGGCAUAUAAUACUCGCAUCACAUCACAAAAUAUAUAAAUAAUCAAGUAUAAAUGACUUAAAUUAAUUAUAAACUUAUAAUACUUGCGAAAUGCUUUCAAUAAUGUUGUCCAGCAAGAACCAGGAGCAUAGGGUGAUGGCAGCUCUCAUAGAGCAUGUUGAAGAGGCAUCCCAAACAAUACAGUUAGUGAGAAACAAACAUCAAUUAUUCAUGAUAUAUAGAGCAUAAAAAAUAUGAAACUGCAAUUGUAUGGGUACCUUUACACAGUCACCAACACUAUGAGCAUCUUCAUCUACUGGAAACUCGGUCCUUCCUGGUAAGGAAAUGAAAUGAUACGUAGACUAAUCAACAAAAUGAGGCCAUACUAACACAAGAAUGGAGUUAAAAAAAUAUAACCUGAGUUCUUAGCAUCACUGUCAGAAUUGGUAGGAUCUUCCUGUACAUGAAGUGCAAAGUCCUACAAAAUUGUGUGAAGCUGGAGACCCACAGGCUAUAUUUUCUCUUGUAUGAUAUAUAAAAACCAUAGCAACGCACGGGCAUCUACUUGUAUGAUUUUUUUUGUAAAUAUGCAUCAAGGGCAUGUUACAUUGGUACAUGCGAGAGUGGACUCAAUGAUGGGCAUGGUAUGUUUUAUCAACCAAGAAGUAAAUGCCUUGUAAUAUCAACCAGGAAGUAAAAUGCCUUGUAACCUUGAAGUGUCUAAGUGUGUAACAGACCAUGAUGUUUCAAGUACCCUCGGCAAAACAAUUUGUCACAAGAUUCAUCUAGCUUACUCUUGGCAGCUGGUGUAGAGGCCAAGCUAAUGGAGGUUGAUAAAGUAUUGUUCUAUGGAAGAGAAUAUGUAUAGGGAAUAAUUAUCUCGGAGAAGCCAAAACACAAUAUAGUUGUUGCCUGUGACCGAAUGGCCAAAACACCUCAAGUCAAAAUGGCCAAAACACUACAUGAUAGAAUGGCAAAAACACUCUGUGUGAACAGGUCUGCAUCCACAAGUUAAGUGCCCAUGCAUUACUACAACUUCUUUUCCCCUAUUUUUUAAAUCUUAUAUUAUGUUUGAGUAUAUAUUAUAAAACAUAAAAAAUAUGUAUGUUCUGCUGGCUAGGUGGGUGUGAAUCUAUUUGGAGCCAACGAUCGUGGUUUUAAAUCUUCACUUGUGUACAAUUUUAAUUUAUUUUUACCGUUUAAGCAGGGAGUGGAGAGGGGUAACCACGAAUGGAGUGGAGAAAGUCUCGCUUUUAUAUUAGUAUAGAUUUAAUGAAUAUAUGUGGGAAAAAGGAAAACAUGGAGAAUAGAACUCCAUGUUUCUACCAUACAAGAAAAACAAGACAUGUGAUGUGAGCUAUACACAUGUUCAAGUAAUUUAGCUAUCCUUGCAAAAAAGAAACAAAGCAAAACUACAAUAGCUUUUUUGCUGCAUAAAUGUGUGUUAUUCAGAAUUAAACUACUGAACUCGCAUGUUGAUCAUCAAUAAUUCUGCAGUGCUACAAUACGAUGGGAUGAAAGAACAUCCAUGCUGCUUGUAAUAUAAGACAAGCAAAUAGUGAAAACCACCGAAAAACGCACCAUUCGCCUCACAAUAAUGUGGAAAUUGCAUAAUGCUACUUACCCAUGUAGUCUGACUCCUCAUUGUGCUGUUGUACAUCAUGAUCACUCCUGCAUGGUAAAUUUCCUUCGAGAUUAUGGUUAUUAUUAUGUUCUGCUAGUACCUCAACCUUCAAAACACUAUAAGGCCACUUGUUUAGUUGAAAACCAAAUGAUUUUGCACCUAAGUAAACUAAAUUUUGCUUACUUGUAGUACACGCACACAUGGAUGCAUGUAUAUAUGUUUGUCAUAUGAAACAAAAAACAUCACAAGUAAAUUUCAAGAACUACAGACUGUUCUCAUAUAAUAUCUCCACGGCUGCUUAAAAAAUGACACUCUUGAAAAGCUGGGAGCAAAGCAACCAGUAUAAAAUUUGAGCUUUUAAACUCCUAGUGCUGUCACACAACACUCUUGAAAUAACUAUAAGCUAACGAUAACCAAUUUUGUAGUCAAAUUCAACUUUGUUUAUAUGAAAUUUACAGUUCAUGGAGAAAGAGUGAAGCAAAAGGAGCUACAUAUCACUCUAGUAACAACAGCAAGAAAAACACUUACUUUAGCUUAAAUUUGUCCACUAAAGCAAUAGCAAUGCAGUGCCCAGAUAACAGUAGAAAACCAAUGCCAUAUGCGGAGAUGGACCUGCACUAUGAGAAGUCAUAAAUUGGGAAAAAGUUAGCUUGGAAACCAAUAGGUGCAGUUGCCGGGGUUGGAGCCAGAAAUGAGGAGCAAGAAAUGAUUGAUGGGUUUCUCACCAUUAGCAGGGAGAUGCAGUUGCCGGGGUUGGAGCCAUUGGGAAUGCGCGACACCUCUUGAACCUGAUUGUCAUGUGACAGGACGUCCCACUGCGGCCACAGCAAUAGCAAAGCAACCAUUCAAGGCGUGAGCAUUAAAUGACGAGCGUGAUGUGGCCGCGGGUGGUGACCGUCCAGACUCUAUGGUCCGAAUGAGCGGCAGCGUGUACCUGGAAGCACGCAUUCUUGUCGUGGCCAAAGGCGAAGACAUGGUCGCCGGAACGGGCAGCCAGAUGGAGGUGGCGGCGCCGAGGACAACAUCGUUGGGCUGUCCUAAGUCAGCGAACAAAUUGAAUCUGCAAUUUUAGUAAUAUAUAUGCAAUAACCAUCGUAUGAAAAAACUGAAUUUUACACAAAGUCGUUAUACAGUUUCGUCAUCACAGCUUCCCUGGACCUAAAAAACAAUGACACCAGAGCACCGGGAUUGAUCAAGUACCCCAGAUUUGGCAGAGCAAAGGCAGCAGAAGCAAAAAUUCCAAGGAAACAUCGAGGCACCUAUUGCGAACCAAAACCAAGGAAGCAAAUAUCUCUGCCUCCAUCUACGGUGGACCAUCCUCUAUAGCCCCAUUGUGUAUCUCCGCCUUCCUCUCCUACAAACCAAAACCAGGGAAGCUAAUAAUUAUAUGAUUCUUUAAGACGGCAAACCAAAACCAUCACCAACCAAUGCUGAGCUCAGCAACGUAUUCGAAGACACGAGGCAUGCAGAAGCCAACACACCAUCUGCUCAAACUGCUCAAAGACAGUGAGGUCCGCGCCGCCGUUAGCGUGGGCAGUGGUGGGGGGCUGUCGUCGCCAUCGCCAAUCGAAGUGGUGAGGGACGUCGACGAUGUCUUCGGGAACUGCUGUGGCACCUCUUCCUCCUCUAUCGUGAGGACCAUCUACAUCCACGCCAUGGAGAGGAAGCAAGCCCUGGAGGUUAUGGGUGUCGGGUCCGCCAUGCGACGCCACCAGCCACCCGCACGCCGCAGCUAGCGGCACAACUCCCAGGCGUACGACCACGCACGCAGGUCACAGCACCAGCAGCCCGCUUGGACCAGCCUUGCUAUGCUGCUCUGGACUCGAUUUCGCAUCGCACGACCUAGCCACUAACCCCGUCGCACUCAACCACUGGAGAAAGGUCGAUGGCGAAGCAAGCGGGAGGACGACAUCGAUCGUGUGGAUUCGCGGUGGACUCGCACCGGUUUCUGGACCCUUCUCCAGACCUAUGUCGUCCCGUCCAGAGGGUGACAGGGGGCAGGUUGUGUGAGGGUGGCGUCGGGAAGCAGGCUCGGGGGCGCGUCGGUGAGGACGUUCCGCGGCAAUGGGCCGCGGUCUCAGGAGCGGCGCGGCGUCGGGCCGCGGUCUCGGGAGUGGAGGGAGCGGUUGCUGCACGAGAGGAGCAAAGCAGGAAGAGGUUGCUACGAAGGGAGCGAGCUAGGGUUAAGCUAGGUUGUCGGGGCAGGGGACACACACGGCCAUUGGAUGGUACGGAUGAUGCAGAUUGAUGGGAGGGGGAGGCAGAACGGUAGAACCAGAGGAAGGUAGCCUACCCCUUUAGGUUCUUCACAGUAGUAGAGAUUUUGUCAUAGCUGAAUACGUUUGACUUCUCAGAAGUGAAAAUGGCAGAUAAAAAAGAGAUAGAGGGAGUACACAACAAUGGAUAAGCAGGUAAGCACACCAAGACUUACAUGGGCAAACAUUCAAUCAUCAAUCUUUGGUUGGUAAAAGAGAAUAUGAGUAUUCAUUCAAAGCAGGUAGAACAGGUUGAGCUCGAGGCUACAUAGCAACACAUUGAAAAAAGACAUAGUAGCAACAUUCUACAUUUUACAGAACAGAUCAGCAAUACCUGAACAUAAUUCAUUAGAGGACCAGUCUUCCGAAGCAUCAAACAUAUAACCACCUAAAAAGAUAAAUGGCCUGGCUGAGCUCCAUAGUUCAUCAUAUUGCAACAAGGGAAGGGAAUUGUGAGGCCCCAUGUGAUGGUUAGAAGUAAAAUAAUAUUUUAGAAGUCAUGAAUCCAAAUUUAUCCAUGAUCAGGAAUAAGAGGAGAUGAGGUGAUGGUACUUAUUGAAGUAACCAACUAACAAUGUGCUAUGCGGAUGGUCAGGUUUUAUAAAUGAAAAGGCAAAUACAUUAUUUGUAACAGAAAGAAAGCGAAGGUUACACAAAAUGAAGUUCAUGAACUUGUGAAGUAAAAUGUUCCAAAGAAAUGUGCUAACAAGUGAAUAUAUUUACCUCAACAUCCUCUACCAAGGUUCUCAUAAUAAUGUCAAUUUCACAAGUAAAAGUCUCGCAAGCGAUAAAAGAAAACCUGCAAGAGGUAGACAAGUGAAGUUUGACAAGGGUAAUCAACAAAAUGUAAUAUAUGGCAUGGCAAUGAACAGCAAAUAUCCUCCAUAGCAUACUCGAAAGAUCGUUUCUUCUCUGAAUUCUCAGGAACUUCUUCCACAAUGUAACAAAGUAACUGCGCUACUUAGGCCUUAUCUCGCAAGCUAAAUACAAAAUUUGAACAUUUUAAACAGAGAAACAAACAUACAAUAAGGCGGAGGACAGUUCAAAGCUACACGAUAUGUCAUAUGCAAACAAUUGUAGGAUGUUCACUCCUUGAGACAAAGAAAAAUAAAAGCUUAAAAAGAAAAUGCAAAAACUAAGAGCCUAAUUCAGUUUAACUAAUUUAGCAUACUUGAAAGGCUGUUCCUUGUGCAAGUUUGAAACAGACUAAUAAUAUCAAUGAACAGACUAAUAGUUGCCCAAACUCCCAAAGCCUAACAAGGAUCGAACAACGCCAGCAGUGUCGCAAGCGCUAGGCCAAUAGACAUGUCGGCAUCCACUUCUUGACACAAACUGAAUCCCCUCCCUCUCCCAUGACGGCGCAGCAUAAUCAAUCAAUUAAGAGCGACAAAUCCACGGCGCCAUACGUCCAUACCCAUGUGGUCGCGUCCCCCGGACUACCAUGGGAGACAUGAGACGACGAGGAGUCCGACCGUUCUCCCUCGCAGGUUACGCGCAAAAUCAGGAUCCUAAUCGAGCCUAUCGUCGUACCAAUCACUCGGAUUCUUCGAGGGUGCCAGGUUUCAGACCGAAUUGAGCAGUCUUGUACAAAAAUCGUGCACGGAUUGGGAUCUAGGGCUGCAGGGGAGCGGGGGAAGGGGAAGCAGCAGGCGUACCUGACAUGGCGGCGGUGGGCGAACCUGACAUGGCGUGCGCGUCGUCUCCUCUCGUCAGCUAUACACGGGGGCGCCUAGAGGAAGAACGCAUUCCUCGAUUGUGUCGCGCUCGAGUCGCGUAAGUGGAGCGCAGGGGUGGGAUAGGGGGAAGUCUGUUGACCCAGGGGGAGGAGGUCGUGGGGAGAGCGGUUGCUUGCCAUCCCUGCAGCGCAGGCUUCGGAGGCGGGGCGGUCGGCGCUAGAUCCGGCGCUGAAGACGUCGCCGUGGAGGCAGAGGUGGACGGGAAUGAGGCCACGAAGAAGGAUGCGGAUGCGCGGAGGUGGGCACGGGAGGCAGGGCAGCGACGGCUUGCACAGAGGGGGCGGGAGGCAGGGCGCCGACGGAUGUGGAAGGAGGAGCGAGAGGUAGGUUGCUCACGCGGACAGGGGACUGACGCACGCCGGGCGUGUGCAUCGAACGAUGAAGACAGAGGCGUGGACAUGACAGACGGUGGAGAUUGAUCGAAGGCAGAACAAGUAGAUGGCAGAACGGCAGAACGGCAGACUACUCUUACCUUCUUAAUAAGUAGUAUAGAUAUGAAGUUUGCUGGGCAAAUACUGGGUGGCUUGCUGUGCCGCUCGUGUAGAUCAACAAGGCUGUUAUUGUUAUUAUUCAUUACGCAAACAUGCGUAUCAUUAGCCGACCGAACGACUGCCGGUACGGUCAAAGUUCUGUGGCGUGCUGGUGCUGGUGCUCACUGCUCAGCAGUCGAUGUGGAUACUGUGCCACCCGAAGUCGCCGCAGGCCUGGGUGUCCUCGAACACCUGGUACGGCGUGCCGACGCAGCCGGGCUGGGAGUAGAGCGUGGCCGUCUCGCCCCGGAAGUUGAACUCGUGGCCGCCGUGGAACCGGAGGUGGUUGCAGCCGCACGAGCCCGCGCUCGCGAUGUGCCCCUUCGUCCCCGUCGUGCACCCUGGCCCGCCCCAGGAAGUCAGGUAGCUCCUGGGGCCCGACCCGUCCGAGGCCACCACGCCCGUCGCUGCGGCGACGACUAUGGCGGCGACGGCCACCACGGCUGUGGCAACAAACAUUGUCGCGGCUUGCUUUGAGGCCAUGUCACCCUGCCCUAGCUACUACUACUAGCUAGUGUGCGUGGUGGCCUUGUCUUUAAGUCUUUCUCUUCCGUACGUAUUGUACUGCACUGCAUCGAACGUCUACCGUUGGAGGGAUUUAUAUAGGACAGAGGACCAGAGGAGGGACGUGGUCGAGCUCUCCUAUCUAGCCUAGUACUUGACGGCUGCCUCGGAUUAAUUUGCAUCGUGGAUAUCGAGAGCUGAUUAUAUUGCAGAGGUCAGCACUCACAUACGUGCUUGUGUAACGGAUCAGUUGGCCACCACACCUUCAAACAUGCUCCCUCAGCUCCAAAUCUGUCUCUCAAAGAAUAUACGUAUACUACAGCAACCAUUAUGGCAAUAAUGUCCAUAAAGAAUAAAUCAAUAUGUUUUACUCUCAUUAUUCUCCUUUACAAAGUGCUUCAUGCAUACACCAAACAGCUCAUUGGCCAAUAAUAUGCUGAAGAAGAAACUGUUCGUUUAGUUCAGUCGGCAAGCAGAGGUUAUUUUCUCUCCCGCUGCCUGCUGCUGCGUUCACACUUCAGAGCUUUCUUCUCGGGAGCGUCCAUUGGAAUGUACGGCUGCGGCUCAAGGAGCAUUCACGAGGAAAUCUAUGUACGACGAACGCUAUAUAUAUCUUGUUCUGUUGUUCAUGUCAUACGAGACAGGGAGGGAUGCACGUGACAGGAGAGAAAAAAAACAGUCCAGAAUCAUAGCAAAACUAAGGGUUGUUUGGUUUCUUUAGAGCUGAUUUGAUGACAAGGGAUUUGAAGAGAAUUCACGGAGAGGAAAUCUCUUACUAUUUAAACUCCAAAUCUCUUAUCACCAAAUUAACCUUAGUCAUCAUUGUAAACUUGGACUAAACUUUGUUGUCUAGAAAUCUUAUUUAGGGGUGUUUAGUUCUCACCUCCUAAACUCUAGUGACAAAAAAUUAGUACUUUUUAGUCCCUUAAAUGUCAAACAGAGUGACUGAUAUAAAAUAGAUCUUUCAUAAAGGAUUUUUAGAGACUAAAAUCUACAAGAGUGACUAAAGGAAUCAAACAUCUCGAUCUACACGAGUUUAAUCACUAAAGUUUAUUAUAAGACGAAGUAUAGAAAUAAAGACACGACGACGGGAGGAACCACACGAGCAGGAUGGAUAUAUAGUUUGCGCUGGUCAGCAGUCGAUGUUGAUGCUGCGCCACCCAAAGUCGCCGCACGCCUGGGUGUCCUCGAAAACUUGGUACGGCGUGCCGGUGCAGCCAGUCCCGGUGUAGAGCGUGGCCGUCUCGCCCCGGUAGUAGAACUCCUGCCCGGCGUAGAACGCAAGGUCGGUGCACCCGCACGACCCGACGAUCGACGUAUCCCCCGAGCACCCGGCCGCACUCCACGUCGUGAGGGAGCUCGGGGCACCCGACGCGUCCUUCGCCGCGACGCCUGCGACGGCCACCGCCAUCAGGACGGCGACGACGACGACGGCCGUCGCUAUUGCCGUGGGAAUCGCUCUGCACUUUCUUCCGGCCAUAGCUAGUAGUGUAUGUGUGUGACGUGGAACCGGAGUGACUGCGGAGCACCUGUGAUGUCUUGAUUAUUAGUUGGUAGUAUUGCGCGGCAUCCGACGCCGUCUUAUAUAAUCUGCAGAUUUGUAGGCGAGCUCCCACGCAUCCAUUUGAGGUGUACCGGCGUUUGUCAUCGGCUAGUAGUUCGUAGUUCGGUGCCGCCGGGCGCCGGCUGUAAUUAGUCCGAGCGGAGUUCCCAAGAUGGUUGUCUGGUGCUCCCAGUCCCAGGUCCCAGCCGACGGUCGCCGGCAGAGCUGAUCCAACUCUGGUUGCCAAGAAACAGACGGUCCACAUGCAUGCAAAAGGGUCGAAAAAACAAAUCCAAUCCAACCCAUGCACUUGUUGCCGACGCUUUAUUCCACUGCCCUCGGUUGGAGCCUCCUUUCGACACCGGUCCCAAAAGCCAAGAUGCCCCCGCGCGGCCGCGCCGCGCGCCACGUACUCCUACCGCUACCGGCACGGCGCCGUCGCCUCCACCCCUGCCCUCCAGCUCCAGGCUCCAGCCUCUAACCACCAGCUCAGCUUUGCACGGCGCCUCACAUGGGCUCGUACGCCUCGCCUCGUCAGCCGGACGCUCCGCAGCGACAGGUCGCCACUGGCUCACUAACGUAAUCCACUAAUCCCUCCACUAGCUAGCUUGCCUCAGCUCUUUUCUAAUCGGCGGCCGUGGCGUCUGAGCCCUGAGUCAGCUACACGCCCUCGUGCGCUCCUCCCGCCACUCAUCGGCGGAAAGCGCGCACGGCCACGGGCACCGGAACCUCAAAAGCGAGGGUGUGGUGAUGCCAUAACUAGGACCGCGCGCACAUGCUGGCAUGCAUCCAUGUCCAGGAUAUGCAACGACGCAAGGAUCAUCCCACAUCCACAUCCACAUCCAAGCAUGGCCGGCGUUGUCUUUUUGGUGCGUGUAUAUUAACCCGCGGGCCGUCGUUCUUGCGGCUAUCCGCACACUGAAUCACGAAUCUCUCGAGCCGCAGUCCAGUCCAUCCGGCUGCAGGCUCUCUGCUGAUUCUGAGUACGUUGGCGUUCCAGGCGAUAGCUAGCUUAGCUUGGCUUGGCACAGUCGAUCGUCUCCGAUGGCGGCGGACAUGCAGAUUGUCCUGGCCGCGGGGAGGAAGAUCGAGGCGCAGUAUGUGGAGAUGAAGGUGCCGCUCUACUCCUACGGCUGCGAGAAGAAGAUCAAGAAGGCACUGUCACAUCUCAAAGGUGCUUAGACGAUCGAUCUUAAUCUGUGUGUGUGUAUCGUCAAGUGAAAAUCAGGCUAACAUCCUGCUUCUCGGACAUGUUUGUGCUGCAUUGCAGGUAUACAUUCGGUUCAGGCAGACUACCACGAGCAGAAGGUGACCGUGUGGGGGAUCUGCGACCGCGACGACGUGCUCGCUGCCGUCCGGAAGAAGCGCCGAGCCGCGCGGUUCUGGGAUGAUGAUGGCGGCGAACUGGGUCCACGCGAGCGUGCGCCGACGCCCGGCCGAGAAGCUCCCAAGCAGUACCUGGCAGCCUUCGCCGCGUACAGGUGGAGGAAGUCGUGGAAGAAGCUUUUCCCGCUGAUCCGCCUCUGAAGCUCACCGUGUGUGCUUAAGCUUAUUGGCUUCUAGCUUCUCCACAAGUGAGCAGUGUGUGUGCCUGCGUCUUGACGACGUCUCAGGAACCGGAAAAAGGGGUUGGAACAUGGAACUUAAGUUCUAACAGUAGCCCGUGCUUCUUGGUAGCAAAUAAACAUGCUUCGUUACCGAAGCCUUUUGGUAGGGCUUUGCCUUGUCUAGGGGGCGUUUGGUUGCCUUCUCCGGUGGUGCAGCUGCAUCUACACAUGCAAAAAGUAGUGUUUGUUUGGUUCGUUGUAUCGCACGAGACAGGCUAGCACGGAACUUAAAGCGCCGCGAGCCAGGCCCGGCAGAAACGCAUCGCGCGGCCGCACGCGCGCCGCCAGGCUCCGCUCAGCCAGCUCUUUACUCGUGCACGCAUAUCGAGACACGUUUUUAAUUGGUUUUUUCAUUAUAUCGUCUAAUUAAAAGAUUUAAUCACCGAACCGAUUUCAUAUCCGCGUUCCUGACAUUUUUGCGAACGAAACUAGACCACUCAUACUAUAUAUAUUUCAAAUAAAAAAAUUACGUGAUUAAGAUUAAUAUAUAAUUAGUGUAUAUUAACAUGUAAUUAGUAUCUAUUAAGCAAUUUACCAUAUAAUUAGUGUCUAUUAAUAGAUUUUUUAAUUUAUUUAACAAUUUUUUAACUCAUGCACCAUGUACUCAUGCAAGCAACCAAACAACAUCUCUUGUGAACCAGACUGGCCACAUACACACAACCAAACACGCUAUACUGCAUGCACUCAGCCAGUCCAGUCUGAGCCAGGCUCACUAGAUACGAGCCAGGCUCACCCAUACAAGUAACCAAACGCCCCCCUAAGAACGGAAAAUCUAACAAAAAAAAAACUAUAUUUUUCUUUGGCUUCAGCUUCUAAGCCAAAAUUAAACGGCUUUAUCUUCAUUGCUUUUUGUCUGGUUUUGGCUUAACAAACCAUUUUUAUACGCGAGAUGUUUCUAGCCACAUAAGUUAUUAUAGGUAAAGCCUUCGUAUAAAAGAAGUGCCUAAGAGGACAGACUUGUGAAAUCACAUUGAAGUGUCAUUUGCACGGAACAAUGAGGCCCAACUAGGCACUAGUCCAUCGAUGUGCUUUUGCAGGAAUCUAGAGAGGGACCGGAAAUUAGAGCUAUUCUUCUAGGCAUUUUUCUAAUAGUCAUCUUUUGUGUUAUUUUUUGUUAGAAGUUAGUUGUCUAAGUAAAGUGUAUUGUCGGUCCUCAAAAUUGAGACGAUGUGCCACUUAAGCCCCCAACACAAAAAACCAGGAAAACGGUUUCUAGAAUUUUGUCAGUCCAUGCAGAACCGUCCAAAGUUGAGUUUGUAAAACCGGAUGUCGACGUACCAAUAUCAUGUCAGAGCCAAUUGUGACCCUGAACUUGAUACGUUGUGUUAUUUGUGUCCCGAACUUGGAUGUUGUGUCGCUUGGGUCCUAUAACUUUUAUUAGUGUGCUCUAAUAUGGCACACCACAUCAACAUUCGAUUUACAUGUUACAAAUAUACAUCUUUAUCUUGUAUACCUUUAAUAUCAUGUAGUAGUGACAAUCUUUAAAUAUCCCACCUCCAUGGCAAAAGUUGCUCACCCUAUAGUGUAUCUGUGGACUAACUCUUGUGUAUCUCAACACAAAAACAUAUUAGUCCACCUAAAUUGUCACUCAUUCAACAAAAUAAAGCAAGGACCUUUCAAUCUCCCCUUAUUGGUAAUUGAUGACAAUUAUACAAACAAAGGAAAACUAAGCAAAUUUCAAGGUAGCACUUCACAAUAGCGUAAAUUGCUAACUUGGUUUGGAUAUUAGGUCACCGAUCCAGCUUUGUAAUUAUGAUUUGAAUAAACAUCAUAAAACUUGAUUUAGAAGUGAUAAUUUCCCCUACAUGUGUGCUUUAAUGAUUUAGAUUCAAGCUUACACACAUGCAUGAGUGUACAUGCAUGAGUAUGUACAUAGUAAUGAUGUGUCAUGCCACCUUAGAGCACACUAAUGUAAGUUUGGGGAUCCAAGUCCCAAGUGACACAACAUUCAAGUUUGAGAAACCAAGUGAUACAACAUGUCAAGUUCAGGGUCCUAAGUGGCUCUGAUGCUCUGAUGUGGCAUGCCACGUCGUCAUCCGAUUUUGCAAACCCGACUUUAAACGGUUUUGUAUGGACCGAUAAAGUUUCACGACACAUUGUUCUUGUUUUCUGUGUUGGGUACCUAAGUGACACAGCGAGUCAGGUUUGAGUACCGCUAGUGCAGUUUACUCUAAUUAUUUAGACAAGGCUAGUUGGCGCUAAAAAUUAAUCAACAACUAGUUCAAGAAUUAGUAAAAAGUUAACCGCCAAAUCUCAUCGGAACGUAAGAUAAAGAGGAAUAAAGAGGAUAGUAGAUGUACUUUGAUUUAUUGGAUGUUGGAUAAACGAUCAUGACCCUCCUAUGUAGAGAGAGGGAAUAGUCUUGUCACUACUUCAAAAUUUGUUCUAAAGUCAAUUUAAAACGAAUCAAUUUGAAAACCCAACAAAAUUCGGUCUGACGGCUACUAAAAGCGUCUAGACCAGGUUUUGUGGAGAAAUAGGCGCUCUAGCCGAUUGUAAUAAACCGAUCUGGUCGAGUUUCGAUAGCCAGAUCUAUUUUAUCAAGGUCUAUAUCACUUCUUCUUUUCUUUAUCCAGUAUAUUUUUAGAUGGCAACACAAACAGUGACACAUCAUUGGAUAUUAGUAUAUUACGCACGGAGUACAUAAUUGGAGAUGCCCUCAACAGUCCGCAUCAGUGACUACCUAUCGAGAAGUAUCCAGAUACUAUUUCUCAGCGGUGAAACCGUGAAGGUGACGCAUCAUAUUGGCAUUGUUGUAAAGCAAAAAGGUAUGGCACCGCGCAUUAUCCAGACACGUACGAGCUCAAGAAAAUGUCAAAGGAAAGUUUUUUCCAUGGUCCAUGUUAUCAAAAAUAUUUACACCAAAUGAGGGCCUCAAAGGCAGAACUAAUUGAUCCUUUACAGCACCGUGUAGUAUAGCCAAUAGAAAUCAACAGACAAAAGGAAAGCGAGAAACACACCGUGGAUCACUGGUCAACCUACAGUAUCUACUACUAGCUGCCUCAAGCGCAGGCUAGUGGGUGGGCGGCCAUGGCGGGCAGUAGGCUGAAACCCCUGAGAAAAAUGGAGCCAAUAAUCAGACUCGGGUGGUAACGUGGAGGGCGUGCGGCGGCGGCGGCGGGGGCAGAGGCGGCGGCACGAAGGGGAGGCUCCGCAGCAUGAGGAAGCGCAUCCGGCGCGGGAACGGCGCGUCGUUGAGCAGCUGCUCCAGCACCCGCGCCACCAGCGCGGUGUACUCCUCGAGCAGCUCCGCCACUAUCGCCACAAGAAUCAUCGCUGCUAGCUGCAAGGAAGGAAAUGAAACUGCUUCCACUUCCGCUGGGAUUGGAUUGGUCUUGUAUCGCGGACUGGGAAUUUUGGAUGUGGACUUGCAUCGUCGUCCGGUCGAGGCUUUUAAAAGGGGGUCGGGAUUGGGGAGGAAGAUGAGAUGAGGUGGGGGAACCUGGACUCCUUGCGUGUCGUGUCGCGUCCCGUGGGCAGCGCGCCCUGGUUUGAUGUGACCCGGGGGCGGCUGCCGUUGGGUCCCGCGAGGCGCGCUGCUGGUAUGCGCUAGAAACCGAGGGAAGGAAUGGUUCGGUUCGCUUUCGCGCGUCGGGCCGCUGGUUAGGGAGUCCAGAAAC